rnacentral:tRNA from 1 species
GGGAGUAUAGCUCAGUGGUAGAGUACAUGCCUAGCAUUCAUGAAGCCCUGGGUUCAAUCUCCAGUAAUUCCA